UUGGAUAAAGCAGAACUCUGUAGUUGAUGAGAAUACUUAAGGAACUACUUCUAAGGAGACUUGUUUUCAUCGGAACUUGAGUAAUGUGACAAAAUUCAGGAUUUCAAGUUGAUGCUGUGACAGGAUGAGACUUUUAGGGCCUUAGGGGAAGAUCACUUGCUCUGGCAGAAGCCGGCUGCCAUGUCAUGAGAACAGAUCCACAUUAUGAAGAAUUAAGACCUCCUGCCAAUAACCAAGCUUCCUGUCGAGCCUUUGGAUGACCACAGCCCUGGCUCAUGUCUUGACUGCAACUGCAUGAGAACCUUGAGUAAGAACCACCUAGAAGAGGACAGACACACAGAGAAUGCACAAAGAGAAAAGAAGGACAUGUGAAACCAUGAGACACAGAGAACGUCACGUGGCUGCAGAGGCAGCAACUUGCAGUGAUGUGCCUGGCAGCCAAGGAGCACCAAGGAACGCUGGCAGCAUGAGAAGCUAAGAGAAAGGCAUGGAACAGAUCCUUCCCGAGAGCCUGCAGAGAGAGCAUGGUCCUACCAGCACCUUGUUUGGGACUCCUUGCCUCCAGAACUGUGAGAGGAUCCAUUUCUGUUGCUUUAGGCCACCCGGACACUUCGUUAUGGGAGCACUAUAUGACUGCCAGAGUAAUGGCCUUUCUUUUUGGGGUGAUGAAAUGUUCUAAAGUUGAUUGUGGUGAUGGUGUCACAAUUCUGUGAAUAUACUUAAAUCACUGAAUUGUUUCUUGAGAUAUAUCUGUUUAUAUUUCAAAAACAAAAAGUGCUAUUGGGGAGCUCACAGAAUCAACAAGAGGCCUAGAGAACCAGGUAUAGAGCCAGAAAUAGCACCCAAAUCAUGUAAAACUGGUCUGGGGAGAACCCCACAGUUGUUUUCUCAAGCACUAGCCACUACAGACUUAAAAAUUAUUAUUAAAUGAAGCAGGUCCUCUUUUUUAUAUCGAGGUGAUGUAUAAUUUACAUAUAAUAAACUGCAUGCAUUUGAAGUGUAUAGUUUUGAUGAGUUUUGACUAAUCCCAUAUGACCACUCUCACAAUCAAGAUACAAAAUAUUUUCAUCAACCCAAAAGGUUUCUUUGUGCCCCUUUACAGGGAGUUCCCUGUAGAGGGACUCUCCAUCUCCAGCCCCAGGCAACUACUCAUCUGUAUCCUGUCCACUUCCUGAGCCUGGUUCUCCAUCCAAUCUUCCCAUCAAUUCUGUUAACCACCCAACCUUCCAAUA